rnacentral:rRNA from 1 species
UACGUAGGGUACAAGCGUUGUCCGGAUUUAUUGGGUUUAAAGGGUGCGUAGGUGGCUUUUUAAGUCAUGGGUGAAAGCCCGCAGCUCAACUGUGGAAUUGCCUGUGAUACUGAGGAGCUUGAGUGCGGUUGAGGCAGCUGGAAUUGGUGGUGUAGCGGUGAAAUGCAUAGAUACCACCAGGAACACCGAUUGCGAAGGCAGGUUGCUAAGCCGUAACUGACACUGAGGCACGAAAGCGUGGGGAGCAAACAGG